UCCAGACUCCUACGGGAGGCAGCAGUCGGGAAUAUUGCGCAAUGGAGGAAACUCUGACGCAGUGACGCCGCGUAUAGGAAGAAGGUUUUCGGAUUGUAAACUAUUGUCAUCAGGGAAGAUAAAAGACAGUACCUGAGGAGGAAGCUCCGGCUAACUAUGUGCCAGCAGCCGCGGUAAUACAUAGGGAGCAAGCGUUAUCCGGAUUUAUUGGGUGUAAAGGGUGCGUAGACGGGAAAGCAAGUUAGUUGUGAAAUCCCUCGGCUUAACUGAGGAAUUGCAACUAAAACUGUUUUUCUUGAGUGUCGGAGAGGAAAGUGGAAUUCCUAGUGUAGCGGUGAAAUGCGUAGAUAUUAGGAGGAACACCAGUGGCGAAGGCGACUUUCUGGACGAUAACUGACGUUGAGGCACGAAAGUGUGGGGAGCAAACAGGAUUAGAUACCCCCGUAAG
rnacentral:rRNA from 1 species